GUGAUACAACAUAACUUAAAUAGAUUAUAGAGGUCCCAAGGCACCGUAUGUUGUAAAAUGGCAACGUUUCGCCUUUCACCAUGUUUAUUAAAAUGUAUGCUCAAUAUGUAUGUUCUCUCUCUAAAUAUAAAUGAAUACUUUUCGGAUUUAAACAAAAAUAUAUUUUUAACCCCGCUCAAAUUAUCCGGAUGAUAAUAGUUAUACCGAGCAUGGUUUCGUAGUUAAAUUCAGACUGUAGUACAUCCGGUUUGAAUACAUACAUGUGUUUUCUUCUGACUUUCCGUUUUCGGAUAGCCAACUCUUUUGAUUUUUGGAACUUAUGACUUAUGGCAAGAGAGAAGAAAACUGCAUGACUUUAAAAGAAAACCAGUGAGAUAAAAUCAUAUAAAAUGUAUGAUGAUUCAGGAUGUGGUCAUUUGAGACCUGUUCUGUGGAUGCCCUUAGACAGUGUAUCUACCCAUCACGCCAUCUGAUAUCACUUGUUCUGAGCA